rnacentral:tRNA from 3 species
GGAUCAUUAGCUCAAUUGGCAGAGCAGUUGACUCUUAAUCAAUUGGUUCGGUGUUCAAGUCACCGAUGGUCCACCA